UACGUAGGGGGCGAGCGUUAUCCGGAUUCAUUGGGCGUAAAGCGCGCGUAGGCGGUCUUUUAAGCGGGACCUCUAAUCUCAGGGCUCAACCUUGAGCCGGGUUCCGAACUAAAAGACUCGAGUGUGGUAGGGGAGAUCGGAAUUCCCGGUGUAGCGGUGGAAUGCGCAGAUAUCGGGAAGAACACCGAUGGCGAAGGCAGAUCUCUGGGCCAUUACUGACGCUGAGGCGCGAAAGCUAGGGGAGCAAACAGG
rnacentral:rRNA from 1 species